rnacentral:rRNA from 1 species
UACGUAGGUGGCGAGCGUUGUCCGGAAUCAUUGGGCGUAAAGGGAGCGCAGGCGGGAGAUCAGGUCUUGCUUAAAAGUUCGGGGCUCAACCCCGUGAUGGGCAAGAAACCGGUCUUCUUGAGUGCAGGAGAGGAAAGCGGAAUUCCUAGUGUAGCGGUGAAAUGCGUAGAUAUUAGGAGGAACACCAGUGGCGAAGGCGGCUUUCUGGACUGUAACUGACGCUGAGGCUCGAAAGCGUGGGGAGC